GCGGGAAUGGCGGAAUUGGCAGACGCGUCAGGUUGAGGGCCUGAUGAGAUUUUUUCUCGUGGAGGUUCAAGUCCUCUUUCCCGCA
rnacentral:tRNA from 1 species